rnacentral:rRNA from 1 species
GCAGCCGCCACGGUAAUACGUAGGUGGCAAGCGUUGUCCGGAAUUAUUGGGCGUAAAGGGCUCGCAGGCGGUUUCUUAAGUCUGAUGUGAAAGCCCCCGGCUCAACCGGGGAGGGUCAUUGGAAACUGGGAAACUUGAGUGCAGAAGAGGAGAGUGGAAUUCCACGUGUAGCGGUGAAAUGCGUAGAGAUGUGGAGGAACACCAGUGGCGAAGGCGACUCUCUGGUCUGUAACUGACGCUGAGGAGCGAAAGCGUGGGGAGCGAACAGGAUUAGAUACCCCCGUAGUCCCUGUCUCUUAUAC